CGAGAGUAAAGCAGCAAAACACCUAGACAUUGAAGCAAAAGGAAAAAAAAAAAGCUUCGGCAGAAUCCAUUCAAAGGCAAAAGAAAGAAAGAAAAAGAAAAAAAACGAGUACCUAUUUUCAGAAAAGGGAUUCGCAGAUCAGAGAAGAACAAGGUAAACUAUAUUUUCUCAAUCCCUGACUUAUUGAUAGUUAUUAUUUCACUAACCAAGGGAUAGAAACAACACUAACAACUUAAGGUGUUAUUAUAUAGCAAAAUAAUGAAUUUCUUAUUAGAUUGAAUAAAUAUUCUUUUAAUUUAUACCAAGCCCUUUAGUGUACAGAUUAGGAGUAUUUGGUGCAAGUACUAAUUGACGAGAAGAAAAUAGUUUUUCUUAUGCAAACAAAAUAAAAUUCUUCUUUUCUUUUAUAAAUAGUUGUAUUAAUCAUCGCGUAAGAACAAAUAGAUAACAAGCUACAGUUCCUAUUUAUAUAUGUGCUACUUAAGUGAUUGACAAAUAAUCAAUGCUCAGUUCCAUAUGAAUGAAAGCAGGGGAUUAACUGGAUUUGAAGGAUUGGACCAGCUAUAUCGGUAAUUCACGAAGUUAAUAUAUAGAUUGGUUUUGUUAUAGGUAGGUAGUUGAAGAAGUUGAAUGAAGUGCUUGAGGUGACGCGUUUGAUAUUUCUGCACGAGCACAGUGAGUAGUAAUCUUACCACGAUUUGUGUUUCAUAACUUGCAUAGUUUAUAUAUAAUUUUUGAAAAUAAAUGUAUUACCGAUACUUUGAAAUUUGCAUGUGGACAAGUCAUUUACUUGAUAUGAUACAGAACGAUUUACUUGAGAUGUUUACCGAUUAAUCAAAAUAUUUUCACUGUUACUAGAUAUGUUUUACCGUCCGAACAGUUUAUUUGAGAUGGUUACCAGUUAAUCAAAAUAUUUUUGCUGUUACUAGAUAUGUUUUACCGUUACUUGAGACAUGAUUACUGUUACCGAAAUAAAAUUACAAGAUUUGAAAAGGAAUGAUAUGCCCUUUAUUAUUUUGAAAAUGCUUCUCUACGAGUAUUUAUGGUUUACAAGAAAGAAUAUAAAUGAGAGGAGACUUUGAAGGAUCCCGUAGCUAACGGCGGGUUCGUUAGACCUGGUGCACCUUGUAUUUACCGAUUACCGAGUACAGUUAGAGCCCUCGCUAGUGGGAAGGUAGAACUAGCAUACAGUUACAGUUUUCCCUCGAUUAGGGACCUGCAAUUAUAUUUGACUCCUUUAACGAAGGGUCCACACAAUCAUACAUAUUAAAUGAUCCUUUUCUGAAACCUCCCAAAUAUUAAGAUUUGCUGUGACACAGUAUUUACCGAGUUUAUUACUGAAUUGUUAAAUUGAUUUUGUUACAGGAAAUACAUGAUGAGACUGAUUAUUAUUGCCGUUUUAGAAAGGGCAUUUUAUUUUGUAAUUAUUAUACAAGCAUGUUUUCUGACUUGUCCCCAAUUAAAAAUGGUUGCGAUUAAGUGUUAUUACUCACUGAGCUAACGUCUCAUUCUCCGCUAAUUUUUUUACAGAGACAACAGUUGACGCGGGCAAGGAUUUCGUUAAUUAGAGUGCAUGAGUUGAUAGUUCCUGGUGAGCCCCGCAUUUGUUCGCGAGGGAGAAGAGUUUAUUUAUUUAUUAUGUUCUCUCCUUUUUUACUGUUAGAGUCGCUCCAUAUUCAUUUUAUUAGUGUCAUGAGUAUUCGUUUAUUAUUAGACCCAUGGCUAGUAUUAGAUUCUCUCAUAGUAUUUUGGAGAUGAAAUUAAGAUUACCGUGUUGCAAGUGAUUAAUUAAUAGUGGUGAAUAACUGUUUGAUUAUUGAUGAAGAUUAUGAGAUAUUUGGUUGAUA
rnacentral:lncRNA from 1 species